rnacentral:rRNA from 1 species
UACGGGGGGGGUAAGCGUUGUUCGGAAUUACUGGGCGUAAAGGGCUCGUAGGCGGCCAACUAAGUCAGACGUGAAAUCCCUCAGCUUAACUGGGGAACUGCGUCUGAUACUGGAUGGCUUGGAUUCGGGAGAGGGAUGCGGAAUUCCAGGUGUAGCGGUGAAAUGCGUAGAUAUCUGGAGGAACACCGGUGGCGAAGGCGGCAUCCGGGACCGAUAUUGACGCUGAGGAGCGAAAGCCAGGGGAGCAAACGGG